rnacentral:rRNA from 1 species
GACGAACGCUGGCGGCGUGCUUAACACAUGCAAGUCGAACGGAAAGGCCCUGCUUUUGUGGGGUGCUCGAGUGGCGAACGGGUGAGUAACACGUGAGUAACCUUCCCUUGACUUUGGGAUAACUUCAGGAAACUGGGGCUAAUACCGGAUAGGAGCUCCUGCUGCCUGGUGGGGGUUGGAAAGUUUCGGCGGUUGGGGAUGGACUCGCGGCUUAUCAGCUUGUUGGUGGGGUAGUGGCUUACCAAGGCUUUGACGGGUAGCCGGCCUGAGAGGGUGACCGGCGACAUGGGGACUGAGGGACGGCCCAGACGCCUACGGGAGGCAGCAGGGGAGAAUAUUGCAGAAUGGGCGGAAGCCUGAGACAGAAACGCCGGGUGCGGGAUGACGGCCUUCGGGUUGUAAACCGAUUUCGCCGGUGACGAAGCGUGAGUGACGGUAAUGGGUAAAGAAGCAACGGCUAACUACGUG